rnacentral:rRNA from 1 species
UAAUACGAAUCGUCCUAACGUUGUUCGGAUUCACUGGGUUUAAAGGGUGCGUAGGCGGUGCGUUAAGUCGGUGGUGAAAUACUUUGGCUCAACCAGAGAAUUGCCGCUGAAACUGGCGUGCUCGAGGGAGGUAGAGGUGCAUGGAACUUCCGGUGGAGCGGUGAAAUGCGUUGAUAUCGGAAGGAACACCUGUGGCGAAAGCGGUGCACUGGACCUCUUCUGACGCUGAGGCACGAAAGCCAGGGGAGCGAACGGGAUUAGAUACCCCGGUAGUCCUGGCCAUAAACGAUGGGUACUAGAGAGUAGAUGCUCCGAUGUGUUUACUCUCGAAGCAAAAGUGAUAAGUACCCCACCUGGGGAGUAUGGUCGCAAGGCUG